GGUGAUAUUCAACAUUCCCCAGGUCACUCUAGAUCCACGGUGAUAUUCAACAUUCCCCAGGUCACUCUAGAUCCACGGUGAUAUUCAACAUUCCCCAGGUCACUCUAGAUCCACGGUGAUAUUCAACAUUCCCCAGGUCACUCUAGAUCCAAGGUGAUAUUCAACAUUCCCCAGGUCACUCUAGAUCCAAGGUGAUAUUCAACAUUCCCCAGGUCACUCUAGAUCCAAGGUGAUAUUCAACAUUCCCCAGGUCACUCUAGAUCCAAGGUGAUAUUCAACAUUCCCCAGGUCACUCUAGAUCCACGGUGAUAUUCAACAUUCCCCAGGUCACUCUAGAUCCAAGGUGAUAUUCAACAUUCCCCAGGUCACUCUAGAUCCAAGGUGAUAUUCAACAUUCCCCAGGUCACUCUAGAUCCAAGGUGAUAUUCAACAUUCCCCAGGUCACUCUAGAUCCAAGGUGAUAUUCAA